rnacentral:rRNA from 1 species
AUGGCCCAAGCCAUUGUCCAAAGCUUAUGCAGGAAGCUCAGAUCCGCCAUCACCGUCGGAGAUGAGGCCACCGGCGAUUUGCAGGAAAUAAUGGAGACGCUGGAGGCCAUACAUCCGCUGCUGGAGGACGCCGAGAUGCGGUGUCUUUGUUUUAAGGAUGAUGUCCCCAGAGAGGGAUCGAAGGAAAUAAUGGAUACUACGCCGGAAGCCAUACAGCCGCUGCUAGAAGAUGCCCCCCAGCAAAUGGAGGGGAAGAAGGUGCAGGACUGGCUGCGGCGGGUCGUGAAGGCCGCCUACGACAUCUUGGACGAGUUGCAAGACACAAUGAAACCAGCAGCACCCGCGCGCAAGUUGACGAAGAUGAUACCACGUGGCAAUGCUCCCGAGAAGAAGAAUAUCAUGGCUGGUAAGAUGGAGAAGAUAAAAGAAGAAGUCUGCAAGCUACGGGUCGACAUGGAUGAAUUCAACCUUAUGUCAUCUGAUUCUCAUGCAAGCAUCGAGCCACCAGUUACUGAUAUAACAGAGGUUGAAGAACCAAUGAUUAUAGGAAGGGAUAAACACAUACAGAGCAUAAUGGAACGUAUAUCUGUGAAAGAAGGGCAAUACAUCAUGGUUGACAUUGAUGGCCAGCAUGGCAGCGGCAAGACAACAUUAGCACGAAUGGUUUUCAACCAUUCCCGAUUCAAAGACUACUCUCGGGUAUGGAUCCAAUGCUCGGACGAUUUUCGCUUGCAGGACAUGGGGAAGUACAUAAUUUCUCAGCUGUCAGGGGAAGAUAUCAACGGUGGUUCAAAUGAUGACAUGGAGUAUGUAAGAAAGCGACUUCACCAGCUACUUGAUACUAGCAUUAAGGUACUUGUUGUCUUAGAUGGCAUGUUUCCAUUAUCAUGGGAUGAUUGCGAGGAGUUGGAUGGUAGAUCGUUUGACAAGCAAGCGAUGGAGCAGGUUGGUGCAGAGAUUGCAAAAAGGUGUCAGGGUUCACCAUUAGCAGCUGCGGUGCUUGGUGGCGUGCUACUCUACAAAGAUGCUACAGGAUGGGCGGAAGUACUGAACAGUGAUAUAUGGGCAUAUGACCGUGUCCGUAAGCCAUUCCUCAUGUUGGCAUACAUUAAUAUGCCACAGAGCUUACGGCCAUGCUUUACUUACUGUGCGAUGUUCCAACAUGGUCAGACUAUAGCUAAAGAUGAUCUGAUCUAUCAAUGGACUUCUCUCGGUCUUCUUGAGAAAUCCGACAGAUUCUCUGAGAUGCAACUUGGUGAACAGUAUAUUACGAUGCUUCUAGGCAUGUCACUUCUUCAAACAACAAUGCCGUUGUCGAAGUUGAGGAUGCCAUUCUGGAAUGACGAGGAGAGCUCGGACGAGGACAUCAACAUGGUUUCAAUGGAUCCUCAGCUCUUUGAAACCCCUGACAGUGUGGUGGAACCAACUUUUUGUGGUUCUUACACUGAAUCUGAGCCGACGUGCAUGAUGCAUCAUCAGAGGCCCAAGAAGAUGGUGGAUUUUGAAGGUGCUUUGACUGGGAGGCGAUUCCUGGGUUGUCCUGUGCAGCAGGAUGUAGGUGUGAACUGUGGGGUUGUGGAGUGGGUGGAUGGUCCUUGGCCAGAGAUUCUACAAAGGUGCCUAACCAGGAUUUGGGACAUGUACCAUGAGCAGAACUUGGGAAGGGUGAAUGACAAACAAGCUCAUGAGAAAGAGGUGGCCAAGCUACAGAAGGAAAUUGAUUUCCUGUCAAACAACUACAGCCAGUUGGUGGAAGAUGUAUCCAAGCUAUUUGACUAUCAAGAUGGCAAGAUGUCUCAUGACAUGGGCUAUACCAGUCAGGCAAUCAAUGAACUAAAUGAGAAGAAGAAACAACUUAAGGAUCAGGCAAAGAUUGAGUUAAGUAUGGAGAAGAUGAAGCUUGCCAAGGAGCAAAGGUGCAUUCUUCAAAGCCAAGCAGAUAUCAUUCAGAACAUGAGGAAGGCCAUGAAGGAAGUGGAGGGGGAGAGGGACCUACUAAGGCAAGAGAAGAAGAAGCUGGAGUAUCUGAUUGCUGAUCUGCUCAAGGCUGGGCAUGCCAGCAAAGAUAAACUGGAGAGGAUCAAGGCAAUUAUGAAUGAGUGA